GUCACGCCCCCGGUGUUGGCGCGGGGCUCGGGGUUGGAGGCGCCCACCUGCGCUGAGCCGGGGAGCAGACGAGGGGGCGCCGACGGUGGGAGGGGCCGGUCGGAAACUGGCAGGUGAGGCUGGGAACUAACCCGAGACAAACCCUCCUCCCGCCGCCCGGCCGCCCCUCGCCGAGGCCUUGGCUUUUGCAUAAUGUGCAGUGAGAUGAAUGGAUUUGGCUGAGGUUCCCAGCCAAGUUCAAACGCAAGCAAUCAGCCUCCAGUGAACGAGCUCUUGGUCUUCCUGCAGCUCUCCCACCAGACACACAGGGGUGAUCUGGACAGGGAGGUGUCGGCGGUGACCGGGACAGACAGAAAGUUCUCUGCUUCCUCCACCCAGUCCUUUCCCUUCCCUGAGACUUUUUAUCUGGCCAGUUCUUAGGCUGUGCUUCUUCCCGCCUCUGCCCUGUUGGCUGAGGCCUCCAACAAACACACUCAGGGACCCGAGGGGAGGUGGACUCUAUUACCUAGAGGCCUGGAGGGCGAGAUCCGAAGGUGGCAGUAGGCACAGGGAGGCAGGAGGUGUCAUUCAGAGUCUCCAUCUGCGUGGAUAACCCGUGUCCUGCCCGAGGGUGACGGAGCAUGGCGGGUGAUCAGACUCUGCAUCAGGACCACUGCAACCAAUAACCCCGGCUCCGGGCUUGAACCAACACAACUUGAUUCUCCCGAAGAUCCGAGUCCAGAAGUCUGAAUUCAAGGUGCCAGAGGGCCACACUCCCUGUGAGGGCUCUCGGCUUCUUUCUUUCUGGUGUUUCUUUGUGGCUGCCAGAUGCCCAUUUCUUUUUCUUUUUUCCACGCUGGGGUUGGGACCCAGAGCCUCACGAGUGCUAGGCAAACACCUUCCCACCAAGCUCCGCUCCCAGCCCUUCCGUCCUGCUUCACCUGGCCGCUCGCUCUGUGUGUCUCUGUCCUUUUCUGUCUUUUAGGAGGACACUUGUCAUUGGAUUAAAGCUCUGCUCUAAUCCAGGAUGAUCUCAUCUUGAUCUUUAUCUUAAUAGCACCACGGGGACCCCAUUUUCUAGUAAGAUGAUGUUCUGAGGUUCUAGGUGAACAUAAAUGGUGUGAUUUUCAACCUGCUCUAGGAAUGUUUGGUAGCAGGGGUACCUGGUCUUCUGCACUGCUGGUUUAUUGGAUAUUUAAGCUCAAAUAUAUGCCAAGUGGACAGGAACUAAAGAAGUUCACUUUCUCCAAAGGCCGCUGUAGGCCACAGUUUUGCCCAUUGCCUUCUCCCAGAUUUCCGUGGCAUCCUGGGAGAUCCUGCAGCCUCUGGGUACUUUGCAACGUUAAAAAGGCCAGGCGAUGCCAGGGCAGUUUAAAAUCUUCACCCCAGCACUCCCUCAUUUUCCCUUAGAUGCCACCAACGUGGUUUCCAAACUUCUGCCCAGGAAAUUAUUUUCCACAGAACGCCCUACCACUGGGGGCAUUCCCCAGAGUUCACUUUGAGAAAUGCCACGCACCCUGAAGUACCGCCAACGCAGAGUGCCCACAACGGCUAGGCACGCAGACCAAGAGAGGAUGCGUUUUUGAGGAAAUCCACCAACUAUGAGACAACGUUGUGACUGAUUCAGGAAAAUUGGCUUCCAGAUCACUGUGGACAAGACCCAACUUGGCUAGGAGGCCGUGAUCCCUGGGGAGAGCCCUCCAGGGCUGGACGCUGGCCAGCUUCGAUUCUGAGAAAGGGUCGGUGACCAUAACUGCUGAUUUCCCUGCCCCAGCCCCCGCAGCCAUGAGGGCAGAACUUCCGUGUUUAAAGGCAAUUAUUUGGAGGGGAGAGUCCGGGGUGGGGCACAGCCUUGCCAUCAGUCAAUCAAUGAAUCAAUCAGUAAGAAAUAAGUAAAUAAAAGAGAAAUGCAAGAAAAA